UUGGUACCCAACAUUUGCAAUAUUAAGGGUUGGUACCUAGAUCCGUCGAAGACUGUCAAGUCAGAACCAAUGUUAAACACAAAUCUACUGCGAUUCUCCAUUCCCAGUUCAGAUCAACUUUUGUAGUUCGACCCUAAUGCCUUUACAUCAAAACAACAAGUGAAAUCAAUUGUAUCACUCUCCAAUUUACGCAUUUGGGGAGGACGACCAGAUGUUAUAUGAAGCUUCAAGCUUGCCCAUCCACAAUUUCUUACUACUUCUCAAUCUCUCUAGAAUUCUCAGAAAUUGAUUCACGAUCAUAAGGGUCGAUGGGUAUUCUUCUUCACAGAUAAAGAAAAGUUUGGCUUUUUUAAUUAUGUGUGGAUACUACGGUAUCUAACCAGGUUUAAUUCUUAUCUUUGUUAUGGAUCUUUACUGGAGAAAUCAAAUGGCAGUGGCGCAUCAGCUUCUUUUCUGUGGACAAAGACGCACCGUAAGGUUCCUUUAUGCUUUGGACUGCCUUGGAGGAUUCACUGCCAACUUUAACCAUGCUUCAAUCUGGGGGAAUUCCAGUGGCAGGCAAAAAAAAACUGUUGCAAAAAGAUUUGGCAUGGAGGAUGAACAAUCUUAAAGAUUUGGCAUGGAUCCUAUGAAAAGAGAGGAACAAGAGAAAUUUCAGGUGAAGAAUAAGAACAGUGGCGGUGAACACUUCUAUAACCAAAUCUGCUCUAAUUUUAUUGUGUCCAACUUGGAAAUCUAUAUUUCUAUUCCGGUUGAUCAUGUUCUUCUAUUCAACUGGAAAACUUUCAUCAGACGAUAUUUCUUUGUAAACACUACGCGAGAGUGUUGAUGUCAAACGGCUCGAUCUCAAAAGGAACAUUAAUUAUAGGACUUCGUGUGCAUCAAUUUUGGAAUAAAAACUUCAAUUAUAGGA